rnacentral:rRNA from 1 species
UACGAAGGGGGCUAGCGUUGCUCGGAAUCACUGGGCGUAAAGGGUGCGUAGGCGGGUCUUUAAGUCAGAGGUGAAAUCCUGGAGCUCAACUCCAGAACUGCCUUUGAUACUGAAGAUCUUGAGUCCGGGAGAGGUGAGUGGAACUGCGAGUGUAGAGGUGAAAUUCGUAGAUAUUCGCAAGAACACCAGUGGCGAAGGCGGCUCACUGGCCCGAUACUGACGCUGAGGCACGAAAGCGUGGGGAGCAAACAGG